GAUGAACGCUAGCGGCAGGCUUAAUACAUGCAAGUCGUGGGGCAGCAUGAGUAGCAAUACUUGGUGGCGACCGGCAAACGGGUGAGGAACACGUACACAACCUUCCUUCAAGCGGGGAAUAGCCCAGAGAAAUUUGGAUUAAUACCCCCAUAAUAUAUUUGAUAAGGCAUCUUAUUAAUAUUAAAGCUUCGGCACUUGAUGAUGGGUGUGCGGCUGAUUAGAUAGUUGGCGGGUAACGGCCCACCAAGUCUACGAUCAGUAGCUGAUGUGAGAGCAUGAUCAGCCACACGGGCACUGAGACACGGGCCCGACGUCCUACGGGAGGCAGCAGUAAGGAUAUUGGACAAUGGACGAAAGUCUGAU
rnacentral:rRNA from 1 species